rnacentral:rRNA from 1 species
GUGGGGAAUAUUGGGCAAUGGGCGAAAGCCUGACCCAGCAACGCCGCGUGAAGGAAGAAGGUUUUCGGAUCGUAAACUUCUAUCCUAGGUGAAGAUAAUGACGGUAGCCUAGAAGGAAGCCCCGGCUAACUACGUGCCAGCAGCCGCGGUAAUACGUAGGGGGCAAGCGUUGUCCGGAAUGAUUGGGCGUAAAGGGCGCGUAGGCGGCCUUCUAAGUCCGAUGUGAAAGUCCUGCUUUUAAGGUGGGAAUUGCAUUGGAAACUGGAGGGCUUGAGUGCAGGAGAGGUAAGUGGAAUUCCCGGUGUAGCGGUGAAAUGCGUAGAGAUCGGGAGGAACACCAGUGGCGAAGGCGACUUACUGGACUGUAACUGACGCUGAGGCGCGAAAGUGUGGGGAGCAAACAGGAUUAGAUACCCUUGUAGUCC